GCAUUGGUGAUCCAGGGGUAGAAUUCUUGUGUUCCAUGCCAGAGACCAGGGUUCAACCUCCAGCCAAUGCA
rnacentral:tRNA from 1 species